GCUAAACGCGAAGAACCUUACCUGGGCUUGAACUGUCGGUAUAGGGACCCGAAAGGGCGACGAUCCCGGGCAACCGGGAAGCCGAUACAGGUGCUGCAUGGCUGUCGUCAGCUCGUGCCGUGAGGUGUUGGGUUAAGUCCCGCAACGAGCGCAACCCUUAUCGUUAGUUGCCAACAUUUUAGGUGGGAACUCUAGCGAGACUGCCCGGGUUAACCGGGAGGAAGGUGAGGAUGACGUCAAGUCCGCAUGGCCCUUAUGCCUGGGGCUACACACGUGCUACAAUGGUCGGUACAAAAGGCAGCCAAACCGCGAGGUGGAGCAAAUCCCAAAAAGCCGGCCCCAGUUCAGAUUGUAGUCUGCAACUCGACUACAUGAAGAUGGAAUUGCUGGUAAUGGCGAGUCAGCAACAUCGCCGUGAAUCCGUUCCCGGGUCUUGUACACACCG
rnacentral:rRNA from 1 species